ensembl:lncRNA
CUUCUCCUCCACCCUUCUAAUCCCGGCCUACAUGACUGACUCCAACUGAAAGCCCCACACGCCAGAGGUGGGAGCCAAAAGCACUGUGAGAUUUCAAAAAAGACCACCUGCUCAUCAAACUAAAUUGCUCUCACUCAAGGCAACGGGGCACAGAGAGAAUGAAAAGGAGGAGAGCAAAGAAAAAAAAAAAGGUAAGAAUAAAAAGAAAUACAAGUCACUCUCCCUCUGUGAUCUUGGCAGACAAAAGAACAAAUUGCAUUUCUGCAUCAUGGCACCCGAGGGUCAAAAUCGGCAUAGGCUCCCUCUCAGUAGUGUUUGUGUACGCGAGCAUGCUGAUAACGCUUCCAUCAGUACGUAAGAGAGCCAGAGAGGUGCACAGGCCUGCGUUGCAGCCUUUCAUCUUGGCUUCUUUUGUGUUUCGCGGUACACUCUGUUGUCUCUCUCCUCUACUUGUCGGAAUUGACUGUUAUUAUUCCAAACAGCAUUACCUUUAUUAAUGCCACAGGUCUCAGGUCUGUGCACUCCCCGAGAGCCGGGUCCGGACAGAGCUGCAGCCAAUCUCCCUAGAUAAAAGCUCAGCGAGGAGCUGUAUGCAAGCCAGACAGCUCCAGCAGGCCUUCAUCCUCCCUCCUCGUUCUCAGAGAGAGGUAUCGGCCCUACAAAGACUGAGAUAUUGCUUUAAUCUAAGCACUUUUCCGUCAGAAACAUUUGAACUGAGAGCAGCUCUCCGGGAGGAUAUCAGAAGCCACCGGUCACAACAAACAAAUUGUAUUUUGGUUGAAUACACAAAGUAGAAUUUGCAAGAAGAAAAUGCUCCAUAAUGAAGAAGUUUUGAAAGCCUGGAUAUUGAGGGAAAUGCUCAGGAGUCGCAAACUGUUCGGGUCAUAAGUCAUGAAACUUUAUCUUGUGGUGUGCUACAGUUUUAUGAGUGCGCCCUCCUUUUCUACUUCAGCUUAUAUUGUCGGCGGCUCGUAUGGACUUGUAUGGGAGCCGAGGCGGUUUCCCAACGUCAGCCAAGCGUGGCAAGUUAUUCUAAAGGUGGUGUGGAGAGCUGACGUGUGGCCGGGCCGGGCCGGGGCAGCGGCUGGGGUCUCGGCUUAGUGCCUCGACCCCCCCCCCCCCCCGCCCGCCCGCCCCCGCUCCAGUGGUCACAGAGCAUCAGCUCCCGGCCCGAGCCCGGACACUGAUUUAUGGGACAGGGGGAUUACCAUCAAACCAGCCAUGAGGACCACCCAGAUGGUGGCACAGGACGACAGCCGCACAAACGGCCGAGGGCACCCACAUUCAAACGCACCGAAAACAUCCACACAAGCACUAACAUGGAGCUUUUCACACAGAUGCCCACAGAAAUACAAACACUUAAAACAAACAGUGACUAAAAGGCAAAACAAAAACAAAAAGCUUAAUAAGGAAAUAAACAAGCAUGAAAAGCUACACCAUGCCGUUUGUGACGACACUGUUAACCGCUCAAGUGCAGUGGGGGGGAUUAGUUUGCGGAGGCUUCCUCGUUACCACAAGGCGAGGGAGCCAACUUUGCUCAUCAGGGUUCAUAUGUAUCUACAGGAUGUGCCUGUUCAGAAGUAAUUCCAUUCAAUCACGUCAUACAGUUUUCUCUAUUUUUCAGCCAAAUUUUUCAGUUCGCAAAAAAAUGCUUGAGAGUGAAGGCUUUUGUAAUUUUCUAUCUCGACUGACCGAGGUCCAAAACCAGAGCGUUCCAUGUAGUCACAGGUGGAGAGCCGGGCUCAAACCCCGGCUUUCAUCAAAACCUUUGUGAAUUCUCUGAAGCUGGUGGCAUCCAACUCGAUGACGAUGAGCAAUUCACUUUCCCCUUUUUCGCUCGAUAAAAAGGUCUGGACACAUCUCACUUUCACUCCAAAUGGGUUUACCAACCUCGAGACUUUUCCAUCAAGUCAACCGAGAACACGUGCAAAAUACACUGAGCAAGUGAGGAAAAAAAAGAAAGAAAGGAAAGCACAUAUUUCUCACUUGCCGGGGCGCAGCACCGCUCCAUCUCUAGGCACCAGUUGGAUGAGCUGAACAAUAAGAGUCAAUGACAAAUCGGACGUGGUGCAUUCCUUUGGUAAACAGCCACUUCAUAAAAGGAGACGGGUAGGCAAACACUCACCUGCCCUAAGCUAAUAACUUGUGUGAGGGCAAACACAAACACCCACACACACACAGAUACACACUUGAUCUUUGAUAUAUCGAGACAACGACGGGAAUCAAACUACUUAAAACUGCCAGGAUGUUUUUGUACCAAGCUUUCUUCAAGUGAAGUGUUUCCAUUUUGGAUCUUCUGUUUAAAAAAGUCUUCAUGCUUGUGUGUGUCGGGAAAUCGUCAAUGACUGGUUUGACUUUUCUGCAAAACAAAUUACACACAUUUUCCCUCCCACAGCUCCAGUGACAGCAGUGCUUCUCUCAGUGGGAUGCACCCUCAGCACUUCCUGACCAUGUGACUUCCUUUUAGCCGCCCUUUAAUUGGACGCGGCGACGAGGAUGAAGAGAAGAGGGGGGGCGUUGUGGCGGGCUGCCGGUUGGCAGCAGACACAUGGGAGAAAACAAAUUCCUGCACCCAUUGCCAUGGCGAUGAGUCAACAGCAGGUCGGGGGGGUGGGGGGGUCACAAGCUGACCUGCUGCAGUUAACAAUUCAUCCCCGUAUCCGGUUCCCAAAUGAUUGGGCAAACACGGAGUGCUGCAGAGUCAAAAGGGACCCAAGGGGCUGGGAGAGGGGCAUCACCCUGGGGUGACAUGCUGACAGGCACACACUGGUUGGUAGAGGGUGGACUAUUUGAAUGAGGGAGCAACGGAUAGGGGGCAGUGGUGGGGAGCGUGAGGGGGCUGAUGGGAUGUGGGAGAGGGGCUUUAGUACAUUGGGUACAGCAGGCUGGAGGAUAGUCACAAAACUGUCCUAAAAAAAAGCUGCGUAGUAAAAUAGUUUGUGUUAAAAGGCCACUUUGAGGAAGAGGUUAAUCUCUUUGGCGCUUCACAACAAAUAUCCCACAUGUUCUUCAUGUUGAGCUAAAUAAUUCCUAUUUUAGCUCCCAGUUGUUAGAUAUGUUCGUAAAAGUAGACCUCACCAUCACCUUAAGGCAGCUAAGCCGGGACACAUAAGCCCCCGGACAGUGUUCUUGUGCUGUUUUAGUGUUUCAGUAGACUAUUUGCAUUUUUUUAGAAACAUAUGGGCUACUCACCAGAAAUUCCCUGGAAAGCAAUUAAAGAUUGGCCUCUCAUUCCAUGAAAUGGGAUUCCUUCACUGUGAAGAAAAAAAGAAAUACAAAGAGGACAAAUGUCACUUCAUAGGCCUGCAGCAUAUAGUAUUCGAUCGCUAAAACAGCGUUAGAGCAUGUAAUCAGAGUUACAAAUGGAAAACAUUGACCACAGCGGAGCAGAACGACGCUUAACAACAAUAAGUCAGGGACAGAAAUAUCAGAUGGGCGCCGGGCGGAUCUCAUCAAUUUUACAUCGAGCGGAAGAAGAACCACAGAGCUUAAACACUGUUAUUUAAAACAGGCUGGACUCUGCAGUGUACGACUUUCUCUCGGCCAGUAUGAGCUGUCACCUCAUGCGCCGUCAUGGCUCGGUUUGCUCCCGAGAGCGGCAAACCAAAUCUCAACAUCCAACUGGCUUUGAAGGGUUGAAAUGCCACCAUUACAACGGACCAUUCAGCGGUCUGAGAAGGGUGUGUUAGCAGAGCGGACGCAUUACUGGUUCUCCGCCGCUACUCACGUCAGAGUACAGGGUGUUCACAAACACCGCGUAAGCAUGUCAUUCCUUUAGUAUCCUGUAUUUAUUAAUACACCCAACAAAUCUUUUAAAUGAAAAGCAGGACCGCAUCACUUAUAGCGUCUCUCAGAAAAGAAAAAAAACUGAGGAGAGAACGGAACGAAAACAGUGGAAAAAAGUAAGAUUGUGAUAAAAAUAGCAGAUGUUGAGAGUCACUUCUCGAAAGGUGUGUCAUUCAGGGAGUUUGGGGCGAACUUUUGGCCGCGGCUGAGCCCUAAUUUUAGCACAUUUACAAAAAUAAAAGUGAGUUCAGUCGCUGGCAUUGGAACAUUCUACUCCCCGUUUAUGAGCUCAGUGGCGCAGCCGGCGUCACUUGUGACGAUGUACAAACCAUAUAAAACAACAAAAAAAAGACCUCCUCAAAAAACCCUGAGCACACGAGGAAAUAACCACAAUUUAAUGUCCCUCGUAGAUGAUCUCAUUAUUGCAGCCCAGGUCCAGAUCAACAGGAUAAUAUGGUUUUGCACAUUCUAAAUUUAGAACAGAGUUUGGCCACAAAUUUCCUUUUUACAUAACAACCCCUGAAACAACAGCCUCUUGUUCGAUCUGCAGCCAUUAAGAACUGCAGCAACUCAACUUCCUAUGAAUGCACCCUUGACUGUAUGAACACGAACUGCAUGAACGACGUAUGAGAACAGCUACUGUGUUUAUUUACCGUAGUUGCAUACGUGCCGACAAGCCUGCGUAUGUGUGCGUGUGCGUGCGUGUGUGUGUGUGUAGCGGGCUCGUCGGCUCACGGGGAGGACGCCCCUGGGCCGGGCCGAGGAGUAAGUGAAGCAGAAGAGUAUCAGGCCUGUAACUAAAAACACAAGCAUAAACACAGGCGAUGUUAGGGAUUACAGCAUGCAACAUCGCCGCAGGAAACCACAGACAAGACACAGGUGUAACCAUCCAUCGGCACGGACGCAUUCUUCCCCAUCUCCGCUCUGCCUCUGGAGGUCUGACUGACAGCUCAUCAUCUGCCCUUGUUGGCUGUGUGAAACUUGUGUAAACAUCCGUGGGCGUUCGUGUGUGUGUGUGUGUGUGUGUGUGUGUGUGUGCGCGCGCGUGUGCAGUGUGGGGCCACAGGUGAGGACACACACACUCCACAAAUCUUUCCUUCCAAAAACUGGUUUAUUGACUAUAUUACUAUAUUUUGUAUGAUUUGUCUCCCUGAGAGUUGAAUCUGAUCAGAUACUAAAUCAAUUUAAAAAAAAAGAUUUUUGCUACUGUAGAAGCAGCAAUGAUUCCUUUUUCUCUAGAACACGAAGAAACAGAUUUAGAGAGGGGGCCAGGGUUGAAUGACUGUACAUUUCCUCAGUAAACAGCUCCCUCUAGAGCAACACCCUACGUUCAACUCUGCACCCCCUUACUCUUUCAAAAAUGUAGUACCAGAGAUGUAUAUAUAACAAUUACGUCAUGUAGAAAUAUUGCACAUAUAGCUGAUUGUUUAAAUGAAGAAAAAAAAGAGUCAGGCUCAAAGGUUUAUUCAUAAGCAGAUUGUCUUAUUUCUGAGCCACAAAUGAAGGAUUACAGCCGUGAGGUCAAACCGCAAACGUCCCCGGUGCGAGUCGACGGCACGCCGUUAUGGAGGUGUUUGCUUUAAUCGUGUGCAGGGUUACGAGGGGCGGGUUUACCGUACACAGGAGAGAUCCACACAGGCCACGCAUGACGGAAAGGCCUGAGGAAAGCAACGAUAAGGCAGCUACCCACAGCCGUGAAGCGGGCUGAGAAAUAUGAGCGCGCAGUAGGUCAUGAAACCCGGCAAGACAAACCUCUCCCUCUUUCUCUGCCUCAUUUGCCCUCUCUCUGCCUGUUCGCAUCAAAUCGCGUUACACAAGCAGAAAGGAAUGCCUCGUAUAUCGGAGACAGAUUUAAAACAAGCGGAAAGAAGGAGAACAGUAAAGAGAGGAUCGCACGGGGACCUAUAGAAGCAGCGGGUGUUGUUUGGUUUCUUUUUGAAUAAAAGGACAACAUGGCCGGGAACUUGGCAGUACUAUAAAGACACACUGCAGUGACACACAAGUCCAGACAUAUACGCACCUAACUACUUCACACGUGCUUACAUAAACUAAAUCAAACCGAGAAAAAGUGGUGCGCACAAACCAGGGAGCACUAUAUGCUUCCUCUAUGUUUUUCCGUGCCAUAAUGAAAAUAGACACUGCACUGUUUCGCACUUGGAAAUCUAUCAUUUUAUGAGCUUUCCCACAGAAUUCGUACCCCAUUAUUUUCCGUGCAUUUAACCCAAAUACAUUAAAGUAGCACUCAAUAAGGUCGACACGCUCGUAUGCUGUUUCGACAUGACAAAUAGCACCCACCACCCAAAUUAACGAGACCUCUGUUUUUUAAAAGUCUAUUUCCUGAGACAUGGAAAGUGCUUCAUUAAAUAUUAUAAGAAAGAAAGCGUUGUGAAGUGAAGCCAAAACCUAGCAGGAACACACUUUUAUCAGAUGGAUCCACACUUAUGUGUCAGCAUUAGGGGUGUAACGAUUCAUUUUAACAACGAUUCGACUCGAAUCACGAUUCAGGGUUGCCGAUUCGAUUCAUGGACGAUCUGGGUUAAUUUAGAACGAUUCGAUUCGAUUUGAUUCUGAUGACGUCACAGACAGGCAGACUGAAUCCAGUAACGUUUAACGUGUCUAAAGUGCUAAAAAACAAAUAAACAAACACGCAUCCAUGCCGUUUUUGUACUUAAAUCCAAUGUGCUGUUUCCAAGAAUCGAUACAAUCGAUUAUGUACCAUUUCAUUCGAUUUGUAAUCGAUAUAUGUCGUCCGGAAUGCCGAUUUGCGGAGCACAGAUCGAUUCAAUUGGAUCGCAGGAAUAUAAAUCGAUUAAUCGAUUCAGUGAAUGAAUCGUUACACCCCUAGUCAGCAUACAUUCACUCAUUCAGUUGCACAACUAAUAAACCACCGAAAACCUGAGAUAA